rnacentral:rRNA from 1 species
CCUACGGGCGGCUGCAGUGAGGAAUAUUUGUCAAUGGACGAGAGUCUGAACCAGCCAAGUAGCGUGAAGGAUGACUGCCCUAUGGGUUGUAAACUUCUUUUAUAUGGGAAUAAAACGUUCCACGUGUGGGAUUUUGUAUGUACCAUAUGAAUAAGGAUCGGCUAACUCCGUGCCAGCAGCCGCGGUAAUACGGAGGAUCCGAGCGUUAUCCGGAUUUAUUGGGUUUAAAGGGAGCGUAGGUGGAUUGUUAAGUCAGUUGUGAAAGUUUGCGGCUCAACCGUAAAAUUGCAGUUGAAACUGGCAGUCUUGAGUACAGUAGAGGUGGGCGGAAUUCGUGGUGUAGCGGUGAAAUGCUUAGAUAUCACGAAGAACUCCGAUUGCGAAGGCAGUUCACUGGACUGCAACUGACACUGAGGCUCGAAAGUGUGGGUAUCAAACAGGAUUAGAUACCCGGGUAGUC